rnacentral:tRNA from 1 species
GGGGGCGUAGCUCAGUUGGUAGAGCGCCUGCUUUGCAAGCAGGAUGUCGUGGGUUCGAUUCCUGUCGCCUCCA